rnacentral:tRNA from 1 species
AGCAGAGUAGUUUAAGCUAAGAAUAUUAGGUUGUGGACCUACUGGAGGAUUAUGUCCCUUUGUUA